GAUGAACGCUAGCUACAGGCUUAACACAUGCAAGUCGAGGGGAAACGGCAUUAAGUGCUUGCACUUUUUGGACGUCGACCGGCGCACGGGUGAGUAACGCGUAUCCAACCUUCCCAUGACUAAGGGAUAACCUGCCGAAAGGCAGACUAAUACCUUAUGGUCUUCACUGACGGCAUCAGAUGUGAAGUAAAGAUUUAUCGGUUAUGGAUGGGGAUGCGUCUGAUUAGCUUGUUGGCGGGGUAACGGCCCACCAAGGCAACGAUCAGUAGGGGUUCUGAGAGGAAGGUCCCCCACAUUGGAACUGAGACACGGUCCAAACUCCUACGGGAGGCAGCAGUGAGGAAUAUUGGUCAAUGGGCGAGAGCCUGAACCAGCCAAGUAGCGUGCAGGAGGACGGCCCUAUGGGUUGUAAACUGCUUUUGGAUGGGGAUAAAGUCAAUCACGUGUGAUUGUUUGCAGGUACCAUACGAAUAAGGACCGGCUAAUUCCGUG
rnacentral:rRNA from 1 species